rnacentral:rRNA from 1 species
CUACGGGCUGCAGCAGUGGGGAAUAUUGGACAAUGGGCGCAAGCCUGAUCCAGCAAUGCCGCGUGAGUGAAGACGGCCUUAGGGUUGUAAAACUCUUUCGCUAGGGAAGAUAAUGACUGUACCUAGUAAAGAAGUCCCGGCUAACUCCGUGCCAGCAGCCGCGGUAAUACGGAGGGGACUAGCGUUGUUCGGAAUUACUGGGCGUAAAGAGUUCGUAGGCGGACUGACAAGUUAGAGGUGAAAUCCCAGGGCUCAACCCUGGAACUGCCUUUAAAACUGUCAGUCUACAGACCGGAAGAGGUUAGGGGAAUACCUAGUGUAGAGGUGAAAUUCGUAGAUAUUAGGUGGAACACCAGUGGCGAAGGCGCCUAACUGGUCCGGUACUGACGCUGAGGAACGAAAGCGUGGGGAGCAAACAGGAUUAGAUACCCGUGUAGUC